rnacentral:lncRNA from 1 species
GGUGUGGCUGAGUGUGUGAUGAGUGUGCAAGGGGGUGUGGCCGAGUGUGUGACGGGUGUGCAAGGAGGGGCGCUGAGUGUGUGACAGGUGUGCCAAGAGAAGACCGAGCGUGUAACGAGUGUGCAAGGAGAGGGCCGAGCACACACGCGUGGGCGUGCAAGGCCAAGCCGUGAGCGUUCAAGGCGCUGACCCUGCGAGUGUGCAAGGGGGGCACAAGGAAGGGGGGUUGGGGCAGCGACGCCACCUUGCACACGCGCGUGCCCCGGGGUGCGGGCAGCGCUCAGCCCCACGCCCGCGCCUUUGCACGCCCGCUCACACCCCCGCCUCCCCUUGCACACUCAGGGGCUCCCGUUGCACGCCCGGCGCCUCUUGCACGCCCGGCUCCUGCGGCGCCUUCGCCUCCCCUUGCACGCCCGCCGCCUCUUGCACGCUCAGCAGCUCCCCUUGCACGCCCGGCUCCCACUGCACGCUCACGUCCUGCCCUUGCACGCUCAGCUCCGCUUGCACGCCCAUCUCCACGUCCCACCGCACGCUCGGGGCCGCUUGCACGCUCAGCUCCGCCUCCCGUUGCACACUCGGCUGCCAUUGCACGCCCGGCUCCUGUUGCACGCUCAGCUCCCGUUGCACGCUCAGCUCCAUGUCCUGCGGCACACUCGGCUCCCAUUGCACGCCCGGCUCCUGUUGCACGCUCAUCUCCCGUUGCACGCUCAGCUCCUGUUGCACACUCAGCUUCCUCUGGAUCUCCACCUCCCGUUGCACGCUCAGCUCCUGUUGCACGCUCAGCCUCCUCUGCGCCUCCAGCUCCCGUUGCACGCUCAGCUUCCGCGGCACGCUCAGAUCCCGCCGGGCUCCCAUGUCCAUCUCCUGUUGCACACUCAGCUCCCGUUGCACGCUCGUGUCCCAGCGGAUGCCCACGUCCACGUCCCGGCGCCCGCUGUCCACGUCCCGUUGCACACUCAGCUCCCGCCGCACGCCCCGGCGCGCGCCCCGGAGCCCACCCGCGCCCCCCGGCACGCCCGGAUCGCCUUGCACACUCG